GAACGCGAUGAGAUACGUUUAGUUUUAGCACAAACAAACAGACGUAACACUCUGAUAAUUCCCAUCGUACUUUGAUUUAACGAUGUACGCACCACCCAGCAUCGAAAACCCGUCAGCAGCGAGCGCCCUGCUGUGACGACUAGGUGCAGGAAAGGUAGGUGAAAAUUUGGUGGCUGAAUUCAGGCAGGACGAGCAUAAAUGUAAAUAUAAAUAAGAAGAGUUUGUAAACAGUAUCAUAUAGUAGCCAUUGCAAAUAGUAGAAAUUGAAUUCUAGUGCUAACUGUGAUUUGCAGCUAAAAAACUAAUUCCAAGUUGAAGAGGAGAGUAAAAAAGUAGCUCUAAUAGUUAAUUUGAAUACGGUGUUUGAGUGAGGUAUUUCGGAAGAUAGCUGUAAGUAAAUAAAAGCUUUGAAUUUGUUGAUAUUUAUUCAUGGUAAUUUGUAGUGAUUCCAAAGCGAGUCCCGUGCAGCGAAACGCAACCUGAAAAGGAGAAAGGGGUGAAACGCACUAUAAAAUGUAAGUCGGAAAUUAUUAUAAGUUUUGUAAUCGGUAAUUAAUAGAAUACAUUUUAGUUUCAAGCUGUUGUAACAAAGUACACUGCUGUGGAAAUUUUAUUUCAAGAACUGGUCCGAACAUAUUCUUGAAAAUUUUAUAAUGUCGCGAUCAAUUCAAGACCCGGAAAAGACGGGAUUUAACUGCGCGGGAUGUCGUCGUCCGGAUGAUGACGAAAGUGAGAUGGUGUUUUGUGACCAUUGCCAGCGUUGGUACCAUUUCGGGUGCGCCGGUGUUUCGGCUGAAGUGAGGGAUGUUUCGUGGUCCUGUGAAGAGUGUCUGCGGCGAUCGGCGGACAAAGAGGGGCCUCCCGGCCUGGAAGAGGAGUGCGAGAAACUCGAGAAGGAGAUGGAGAAGGAGAGACAGGCCAUGGAACUGCAAACGAUCCUACACAGGAAGCGGCUGGAACACCAGAAGAAGCUGUUUCUGCUGCGGCAGGAAGCGGAAAGAGAAAGGCGCGAAAUGGAGUUGGCGUACGAGAAGGAGCAAAUGGAGCUACAAGCGGCCGAAGAAGAAGCGCACCGGAAGAAGCGCGACGAAGUGCUGAAGCAGGUGCAGAAAAGGCUGGAGAAAGUGAAGCUCGAUUCGGCGAGGGAAGAGGUAGCGGAACUGGAGGAAGAUGGAGCAUCCGGAGGCGAAAAAGGAGGAGUCAAGGAAGGUAGGAAGUCCAAGCAAGCGAAGUCGGGGAUGGAAGAGCCGGAAAAAGAGGAGCCUGAGAAGAGAAAGUCGGGCAAAUCGGACCGGAAACUAGCUAAACCGGCCAAAGCAGACCGCGAGGAUUACCGUGGAGCCUUCAGCAAGUUCUCCACACCGAAGGCAUCUGGAAUUGCACCACCCGUCCUGCAGGACAUAACCUCGCUCCCAGCGGUGAGCCACAAGAAAACUCCGCUCGGCCACCCGGAGGUGCAGAAGAAGAAGAAGAGGCCACAGUUCGAAGAAGACGUCGCUCUACGCUCGUACCAAGCCAGCGAACCAAGUGAAGAGGAGUCCGAAGAAUCGGAUUCGGAGUCGGAAGAAGAGAGUUCGUCGCAGGAAGAAGACUUCGGAAUGCAAUCCGAGGUAAUGGUGCGUGGUCCAACGAAGGCCCAACUCUCCGCUCGGCAGUUUCUGUCAAAGAAGCUUCCGACAUUCACGGGGCGGCUCGAGGAAUGGCCGAUGUUUAUCAGCGCCUACGAGACGUCCACAACGGCUUGCGGGUUUUCGAACGUCGAGAAUCUGGCGCGACUUCAAGAGUGUUUGAAGGGUCAAGCACUAGAAGCGGUAAGAAGCAGGCUCCUACUUCCGAGUGCAGUACCGCAAAUCAUCAAAACCUUGCGGAUGCUGUACGGCAGGCCUGAGCAGUUGCUGAACAUGCUGCUGUCGAAUGUGCGGAAGGCUCCGUCUCCAAGAGCGGACAAGUUGGCAUCGUUCAUCCAGUUCGGUGUCGUCGUGCAGCAGCUAACCGAUCAUUUGGAGGCGACAGGUCUGACUGCGCAUCUCAUCAACCCGAUGCUCAUCCAGGAGUUGACGGAGAAGUUGCCGGCCAGUACGCAGCUGGAAUGGGUGCGGUAUCGGAGGAAGGCCCAGCUCGUGACGCUCCGGACAUUAUCCAACUUUCUCUCGAGGAUUGUCAAGGAUGCUAGCGAGAUCACUCCGUAUUGCGAGUCGGCGUCCAUCGCAUCGGAUCAAGCGUUCCGGAAGAAGAAGGGAAGAAAGGAGCAAGAAGGAUUUCUGCACACGCAUAGUGCCGAAGCCAGCGGAGUCGCCAACCAGGCUCCGAAUCGGGAGAAGAAGCCCUGCAGGAUCUGCGGCCGCUGCGAUCAUCGUAUCCGGAACUGCGAGAGCUUCAAGAGGAUGAGGUUGCCAGAAAGAUGGGAGGCGGUACGGAAAUGGAGGCUCUGCUAUCUGUGCCUCAACGAGCACGGAAGUGCACGCUGCAAGCUCAACAUGCGGUGCAACGUGAACCAGUGCAACGAACGCCACAAUCCGCUGCUGCAUAUCGAGCAGAGUGUUAGCACUAACUGCAACGUGCACCUACAUCGGCAGUCGGUGAUUUUUCGAAUGAUACCGAUCACGUUGUACAACGGGAAGCUCAGCGUGGACACGAUUGCGUUCCUGGAUGAGGGGUCGUCAUACACGCUACUGGAAAAGUCGCUGGCGAUCGCGCUGCAAGUCCAAGGCGUAACGCAACCGCUCCGAGUGACCUGGACAGCGGGUGUAUCCAGAGUGGAGAAGCAGUCCCAAAGGGUGGAGCUCUUUGUAUCGGCAAGAGGAUCGACGCAACGCUUUCGCAUCAAAGCCGCCCAUACGGUGGACAGUUUAAAGUUGCCGCAGCAAACGGUCUCCAUGGCAGAGGUCAUCGGAGGACAUUCCCACCUGCGAGGACUUCCAGUAACAGAAUUCUCACGUGGAGUUCCGCAAAUCCUCAUCGGCCUCAAGGACAUCCAUCUAUACGCUCCUUUGGAAUCCAGGAUCGGCAAGUCUGACGAACCGAUCGCCGUCCGAUCUAAGCUAGGCUGGACGAUCUACGGGCCGACGUGUGCAAGCCGGAACGAGCCCGGCAUUGUUGGUCACCAUGAUUGCGAAACGGUGACGAAUCAAGAGUUGCACGACAUGUUGCGAAGCCACUACACCAUGGAAGAGUCGGUGAUUUCCGUGGCGCUACUGCCGGAAUCCGAAGAAGACAAGCGAGCGAAGGCGAUCCUCAACAGUACGACCGUACGAGUUGGCGACCGUUUUGAGACGGGGCUAUUGUGGAAGGAGGACAAGGUGCGUUUUCCCGACAGUUAUUCGAUGGCGGCGAAACGAUUCCGCUGUCUGGAGAGGCGGCUAGCGAAAGACGACCAGCUGCGCAAGAAGGUGAGCGAGCUGAUCAACGAUUAUGCAGCGAAAGGCUACAUUCACGUAGCGACAGAGGCCGAACUGAGGCGGUUCGAGCCGAACGAAGUGUGGUACCUGCCGAUCAGCGUGGUGGUGCAUCCAAAGAAGCCGGGAAAAGUGCGUCUGGUGUGGGACGCAGCAGCGGCGGUCAACGGAGUAUCGCUGAACUCACAACUGCUGAAGGGACCGGACAUGUUAACUCCGCUCCCCAACGUCCUAGCGAAAUUCCGUGAGCGAGUAGUAGGCUUCGGCGGCGACAUCAAGGAAAUGUACCUCCAAGUUCGAGUGCGAGACGCAGACAAGAGAGCGCGGUUUGUGUUCCGUGGAAGUGAGUCAGAGAAGAUGGAGGUCUACAUCAUAGACGUGACGAUGUUCGGCGCGACAAGCUCUCCGUGUACGGCGCAAUACAUCAAGAACCGGAACGCAGAAGAGUAUGCCGGACAGUUUCCGGAAGCGGCCGAAGCGAUUGUGGAAAACCAUUACGUGGACGACUAUUUCGAUAGCACGGACACGGUCGAAGAAGCGGUGAAGCGGGCCCAAGAGGUGAAGUUCGUCCAUUCCAAAGGCGGAUUCGAGAUCCGGAACUGGGUGUCCAAUUCGGGCGCAUUUCUGGAAGGCAUCGGCGAGCGUGCACCUGAUCAAAGCGUUCAGAUUCUUCAGAACAAGGAGUCAAAUCUAGAGCGAGUCCUGGGAAUAGUGUGGAAUCCAGUCAGCGACGAAUUCACGUUCCUGGCCAAGUUCCGGGAAGAUCUGGCGCCGUAUUUCUCCGGCGAACGUCGACCGACAAAAAGAGUGGUGAUGAGCAGCGUUAUGAGCCUGUUCGAUCCGCUAGGAAUGCUGGCUACCUUCGUUAUCCACGGGAAAAUGAUGAUCCAAGAUCUGUGGCGUAGUGGCAGCGACUGGGACCAACCAAUCGACGACGAAAGCUGCGAAAAGUGGAAUCGGUGGAUUGCUCGGCUCCCGGAGAUCGAGAACGUGAAAAUUCCCCGUUUCUACUUCCAAGGUUCGAGGUCAGUGGAUUACAACACUGUACAGCUUCACGUGCUGGUAGAUGCCAGCCAAGAUGCGUAUGGAGCAGCAGCAUACUUCCGUGUGCUCACGGGAAACGGGCCAGUUUGCGCGCUGGUGAUGGCGAGGUCGAAGGUAGCUCCAUUAAAGAUGAUGUCCGUCCCGAGGCUGGAGCUGCAGGCGGCGGUGAUCGGAGCAAGGUUGCUGCAAACCGUCGUGGAAGCGCACUCGCUGGAAAUCAAGCAGCGGUUCAUCUGGUCAGAUUCCAGAACAGUCGUAUCAUGGAUCCAUUCGGAGCAGCGUAGGUACAAACCGUUCGUGGCUUUCCGGAUCGGCGAGAUUCUCAGCCUGACGAAGCACAGCGAGUGGCGGUGGAUUUCCACGAAGAACAAUAUCGCCGACGAUUUGACGAAGUGGAAGAGCGGCAGCAGUUUGGAUUCGAACGGACCGUGGUUUCGAGGUCCGAGAUUCCUUUAUCAGCCGGAACAGCGAUGGAUGAAGCAGGAAGUGGUAGAGCCGAACACGCCAGAAGAGGUUCGGGCAUGCCAUCUGUUCCACGACCUUUCAGCAGAAGAGCCGAUGGUCGACGUGUCCCGCAUUUCCCGUUGGAAAGUGCUGGUCCGGACGGUAGCAUGCGUGUACCGUUUCAAAUCUAACUGCGUCAGGAAGCGGAAAGGGCUGGCGAUCGAGGCUGUUCCGGCACCACCAAGAGUGCGAAGCGCAGCGAAGAAGGCAAUACCAGCGAUAACAGUCCCACUGAAGCGAGAGGAGUAUCAGCGAGCGGAAACGUACCUGUGGCGGUCGGCGCAGGCCGAUGUCUACGGAGAAGAAAUCAGGACGUUGGCGAAGAACCGUGAAGUUCCACGCGGCGAGUGGCAGCCGAUAGAAAAGUGUAGCAGCCUGUACAACGAUAGCCCGUUUUUGGACGCGGAUGGUGUGCUCCGGAUGGAAGGCAGAGCGGCUCAGGGUUCAUUUCUCCCUUUUGAAUUGCGGUUUCCGGUGAUUCUUCCGAAGCGGCAUCCCACCACUCGGAAGUUGCUUGAGUUCUAUCACCAGCAGGCGGCUCACGCAAACGCGGAGACAGUGAUCAACGAUGUCCGGCAACGUUUCCGGAUCCCGAAUCUACGAGCGGAGUUGAAGGCGGUGGCGAAGGCUUGCGUGUGGUGCAGAACGAAGAAGUGCGUGCCGAAGAUUCCCAGGAUGGCUCCCCUUCCGUUGGCGCGGAUCACUCCUGGCUGGCGGCCGUUCAGCUUCACAGGGGUGGACUAUUGCGGUCCGGUCACAGUUACGGUUGGGCGUAGGUCGGAAAAGCGGUGGAUCUGCCUCUUCACGUGCAUGACGACGAGAGCGAUUCACCUGGAAGUGGCUCACAGUUUGACGGCGCAGUCGUGUUUGAUGGCGAUCCGGCGUUUUGUGUGUCGGCGGGGCAAACCGGUCGAAUUCUAUUCAGACAACGGGACGAACUUUCAGGGAGCCAGUAAGGAGAUUGUGCGGAAGAUAGAAGGAGACUGCGACGAAGCUUUCACUGACGCGAGGACAAGGUGGAAUUUCAACCCGCCGAGCGCGCCCCACAUGGGAGGCGUUUGGGAGCGGCUGGUCCGAUCCGUGAAAGCAGCCCUGACGGUGCUCCAAGACGGAAGAAGGUUGACGGAUGAAGUGCUGCUGACUACGUUGGCAGAAGCGGAGGACUUGGUGAAUUCUCGCCCGUUGACGUACGCCGGGCUUAGUCCGGAGGCUAGCGAAGCGUUGACACCGAACCACUUCGUGAAAGGUCCAGAGGUGGCGGUAGAGCGGGUUCCGAAGACAGACGAGGGUGAAGCGUUGCGGGACCUCUAUAAACGAUCGCAGGCACUGGCAGACCGCCUGUGGAAGCGAUGGGUAGCGGAGUACGUGCCAGCAAUCAACCAGCGUACCAGGUGGCACGCAGAGGUACAACCGAUCAGCCAGGGCGACCUGGUGUAUAUAGCGGACGAAGGAGCGAGGAAGAGUUGGACGCGAGGCGUGGUCAGCGAGGUGUACCCAGGCCCUGAUGGACGAGUACGGCAAGCACUGGUCAAGACGGCCAAAGGGGAGUUCAGGCGUCCGGUGGCGAAGCUGGCUGUGCUGGAGGUUCAAGAGCGUAACUCUGGUGCUGCUGGAGGAUCCCCCCAGAAUUACGGGGAGGGGGUAUGUACGCACCACCCAGCAUCGAAAACCCGUCAGCAGCGAGCGCCCUGCUGUGACGACUAGGUGCAGGAAAGGUAGGUGAAAAUUUGGUGGCUGAAUUCAGGCAGGACGAGCAUAAAUGUAAAUAUAAAUAAGAAGAGUUUGUAAACAGUAUCAUAUAGUAGCCAUUGCAAAUAGUAGAAAUUGAAUUCUAGUGCUAACUGUGAUUUGCAGCUAAAAAACUAAUUCCAAGUUGAAGAGGAGAGUAAAAAAGUAGCUCUAAUAGUUAAUUUGAAUACGGUGUUUGAGUGAGGUAUUUCGGAAGAUAGCUUGAUUCCAAAGCGAGUCCCGUGCAGCGAAACGCAACCUGAAAAGGAGAAAGGGGUGAAACGCACUAUAAAAUGUAAGUCGGAAAUUAUUAUAAGUUUUGUAAUCGGUAAUUAAUAGAAUACAUUUUAGUUUCAAGCUGUUGUAACAAAGUACACUGCUGUGGAAAUUUUAUUUCAAGAACUGGUCCGAACAAACGAU